ensembl:lncRNA
CCCACGCGGUUUCCUUCCGGCUUCCCUGCUGCUGUCGGCUGGGAGAGCUCUGGUUUGUUUUGACUCUGGAGUUCUCCAACAGAAAUAUUGAAAAGGACUAAACCAAUUCUUGCCGUUCUAAAACCAUGGCCCAUAACUCCAUCCAAGAACCUGCUCCAAUUUCUCUCAUUCCUGAGAGGACUGGGGACAGAGAACCCAUCCAUGCCUUCCCUUCUUCACUAGUGUUGACCAUCACCCAUCUUCAGAACCUUCUGUCAAAAGCAAAAGUGGAAUGCCUUGAGAAAAUAUAGUACUUUCUCUGCAGAAUGUCCCUCUUUUUAACAUUUUCCAUUGGAAUGACUUUUGAUUUUAAUUCUUAAACUUCAGAAAAAAAUGUAUUUCCCUUAAUACAGUGAUUUUUGAUCUAGCUUUAUAUAGAAAAACUUAUGUCCCUGGUUUGUGGCAUUUUCAAAAAGUAAGGAUGUUUCAUGGAAUUUAGCAUAUAAACAGAGAAGCACACAAAUCUUAAGUGUUGAGCUGAAUGAAUUUUCUUAAAUUGAGUACAUUUAUGGUUCCAGAUCAAGAAAGGAGUAUUACUAGCACCUCAGAUGCCCCUCUUUCAGUCACUCCUUAUAUAACCACUAUCCUGACUUUGAACAUCGCAAAGUAGUUUUGCUUAUAUUUAGAACUAUAAAUGGAGUCAUAUAGUUCAUUGGUAUUUUUUAAAAUACUAAUCUUUUAAAACAAAAACACUUCCUGGAAGAGUCUAGUUGUAUUCCACAUGUAAUUGCUAGACCACCAGAAUCACCUAUAGAUGUUUUAAAAUAUAUGUGUCAUUAAAGGAAAUGUGUAUAUCUGAUGCUGCUGGUGGUAAAGUAGGCACCUGAGCAUCAGAUGAAUGUGGGUCAUUCCUACUAUUAUGUCCUUGUUGGAAAUUUUUUUCAUAGUGUAUUGCACAUGUUAAGCCCUUGGUUUUUUCCUAGCAUAAAAUGAGGGGUUAUUUAAAAUUUAUUUUUUAGUUGUAAUUGGACACAAUACCUUUAUUUCACUUAUUUAUUUUUAUGUGGUGCUGAGGAUCGAACCCAAGGUCUUGCACAUGUGAGGCGAGUGCUCUACCGCUGAGCCACAACCUCAGCCCAUAAAAUUAGUUUUUUAAAGGUUGGAAACAAUUGAAAAUUGUGGAGAAAGAUGCAAAGCAAAUGAGAAAUAUUAAUUUAGUAAAAAAUUCUAAAGAUGAUGUAUAAGCUCUGACCCACUAUUUAUUACAAUUCUGUGUUGGAGGAAAAUCUUGUGAAGCUAAUUGGAAGGUUG